GGAAGUAAAAGUGUAACAAGGUUUCCGUAGGUGAACCUGCGGAAGGGUCAUUAAAGAACGCCCCGUUUUUUGAAAUGGGUAAUUCUAAACCGUGUAUACAUACCUUUGUUGCUUUGGCAGGCCGCCCCUCAGGGCGUCGGCUCCGGCUGACUGCGCCUGCCAGAGGACCCAAACUCUUUUGUUUAGUGAUGUCUGAGUACUAUAUAAUAGUUAAAACUUUCAACAACGGAUCUCUUGGUUCUG
rnacentral:misc_RNA from 1 species